CCUGAGAAACCCAAAAGAUCGAAUGGGGAGAUUCAUCGUCAGCUCAUUUUGUAUAUAUAUAAGUUAUGAUAUGGGUUACUACUUGUAGUAUUGCUUAUACAUGCUUGUAUAUUUAAUUGCAAGAUGUUGUCGGCGUGCACUUCUCCCCUAGUAGGACGUCGCGACCCGUUGAGUGUCGGUCUACGGCCCAAGUGGUAGCCUUUAAUUCUUGUAAUUUAAAGACCCUUGGUGUUUCCUGACUGGCUACUCGGCGGUAUUCGUAUGGUAUUAAGCCGCAUAUUUUUAUGCGUUUAUAUCCGUCGCAAGCGCGGUCAAUUGUUAGUAGUUAUGGACCUAGUGCCGUCGCUAUAAUUGAUCAGCUGUUGGUUGUACGGUAUUCUAAAACUGGCUUUAUUAAAUACCGGUCAGCGAUGCUACUGCUUUGGUAC
rnacentral:rRNA from 1 species